ensembl:snRNA U6 U6 spliceosomal RNA
GCACUCGCUUCGACAGUACAGAUACUAAAACUGGAAUGAUACAGAGAAGAUUAGCACGGCCCCAGCACAAGGAUGACAUGCAAAUUCAUGAAGCGUUCCAUUUUUUU